GUCACCUCCACCGUCGCCCUCCGUGUAGCCCACUAUACACUCCCCUCACCCUGAAAUAGAUAUCAUGGACGUACGGGAUAGGACACCCGGACCUGUUGACCCUUCUGUCCUGACACUACAGGACACCCAUCGGAGCGUCGACGUAUGGAACCUGACGGGUGACGUAGCGAAGCCACUACAGUGCAGGCACUACAGGACCCCCUGGGUUGUCCAUGAUCGCUGCCUUGAGUACGUGACGUACGCUGGCUUUGGCGGUGUAC